GCCCAGCUUGUCGCCGCUGCUUUGAUGUCCUGUUGUCGAGAGUAACGUCUCUAUAUUUAUGUUUGUUUUUACAGACUAAAAAAGUCGUAACGUGUCCUAAACCACAGCAAUGUGUCUGCACUAAACCAAUGAAGAUCUGGAUGCGUUGCGAGCAGGUUGAGCGGUGUUUUCAGGCGUGUAUUUAUGGGGAGUUUGGUCAAGUCCAAGUCCAGUGUCUGUUUGCAACGUUAGCCUCACAUCUCUGGUAGUAAACUAAAGAAGCAAACUGAAGAAACCAACCCUUUUUUUGGCUGGUCGACUGCAUCCAUGUGGAAAAUCUUUUUCAGAAUGCUGUGUAGUCCGGGACUUGUCUUCCUGACAGGGAAGUCCAAACUAUAAAGGGAGCCCAGUCUCAAUGGGUUAUCAGAAUGCUGUGUAGUCCCGGUCCAGGAGGGAGCCCAGGGUCAAGUGGGACAUCAGGUGAAGUGGGACACUUUCAGUGGUGCUAUGGUAUGCUUUCGUCAGCCAAUCACAACAAAUCGCUGUCAGAAGAAAACCUUGCAUCUCC